GACGAACGCUGGCGGCGUGCCUAAUACAUGCAAGUCGAACGCACUCUCGUUUAGAUUGAAGGAGCUUGCUCCUGAUUGAUAAACAUUUGAGUGAGUGGCGGACGGGUGAGUAACACGUGGGUAACCUGCCCUAAAGUGGGGGAUAACAUUUGGAAACAGAUGCUAAUACCGCAUAAAACCUAAACACCGCAUGGUGUAGGGUUGAAAGAUGGUUUCGGCUAUCACUUUAGGAUGGACCCGCGGUGCAUUAGUUAGUUGGUGAGGUAAAGGCUCACCAAGACCGUGAUGCAUAGCCGACCUGAGAGGGUAAUCGGCCACACUGGGACUGAGACACGGCCCAGACUCCUACGGGAGGCAGCAGUAGGGAAUCUUCCACAAAGGACGAAAGUCUGAUGGAGCAACGCCGCGUGAGUGAAG
rnacentral:rRNA from 1 species